rnacentral:rRNA from 1 species
UACGUAUGGAGCAAGCGUUAUCCGGAUUUACUGGGUGUAAAGGGAGCGUAGGCGGUGCUAUAAGUCUGAUGUGAAAGCCCGGGGCUCAACCGCGGGACUGCAUUGGAAACUGUAGGACUGGAGUGUCGGAGGGGUAAGUGGAAUUCCUAGUGUAGCGGUGAAAUGCGUAGAUAUUAGGAGGAACACCGGUGGCGAAGGCGGCUUACUGGACGACAACUGACGCUGAGGCUCGAAAGCGUGGGAGCAAACAGG